AACGAACGCUGGCGGCAGGCCUAACACAUGCAAGUCGAACGCACCGCAAGGUGAGUGGCGCACGGGUGAGUAACACGUGGGAAUGUAUCCUUUGGUUCGGAAUAACGUCUGGAAACGGACGCUAAUACCGGAUGAGCCCUUAGGGGGAAAGAUUUAUCGCCGAAGGAGCAGCCCGCGUCUGAUUAGGUAGUUGGUGGGGUAAAGGCCUACCAAGCCGACGAUCAGUAGCUGGUCUGAGAGGAUGAUCAGCCACACUGGGACUGAGACACGGCCCAGACUCCUACGGGAGGCAGCAGUGGGGAAUAUUGGACAAUGGGCGCAAGCCUGAUCCAGCCAUGCCGCGUGAGUGAUGAAGGCCCGCGGGUUGUAAAGCUCUUUCGCACACGACGAUGAUGACGGUAGUGUGAGAAGGAGCCCCGGCUAACUUCGUGCCAGCCGCCGCGGUAACAC
rnacentral:rRNA from 1 species